UACGUAGGGUGCGAGCGUUGUCCGGAAUUAUUGGGCGUAAAGAGCUUGUAGGCGGUCUGUCGCGUCUGCUGUGAAAAUCCGGGGCUCAACCCCGGACUUGCUGUGGGUACGGGCAGACUAGAGUGUGGUAGGGGAGACUGGAAUUCCUGGUGUAGCGGUGAAAUGCGCAGAUAUCAGGAGGAACACCAAUGGCGAAGGCAGGUCUCUGGGCCACUACUGACGCUGAGAAGCGAAAGCAUGGGGAGCGAACAGG
rnacentral:rRNA from 1 species